CGGAAUUUGCAUACAAUAUAGAUAACGUUGAAAACUGCAUACGAUAUGAACAAAGAAGGAAAUUGCAGACGGUAAUCGCUGUCCGUUAAUAUGGUGUUUAUUAUGGUUUAGUUAUUUUAAUUUUAUUUUUUUAUGUUAAAAAUACACGAUGGAUACUUAAAUAUUGAUGUUUACCUUUUUUAUUUUGAUAUUUUAUGGUGUAGAUUAACCUAAGUAAAUAUAACAAUCAAAACAGUAGGGCAUGGAAUGGCAGAUCAACAUUGUUAAUUUUCGGAUAAACUUUCUGGAUUUUGUCAAGUGAAGAACUCCAAUUAUAUACAUGUAGGGGCAUGUGUCCAAAGCUGAUCCACAUCAUAACAUACUCAUUGGGAAUAAUGGCAUAGUACCAAAAGAUGUGCUUAUACUGUAAUUAGCAGAUCUUCACAAUUGAACCUGGCAGAUCCUGGUGCAACCUUACCUUACCAUGUUUACAUCUAACCGUCAGUUUGAGCUGUGUGUGGGUGGUAACACGGACUAUAUACAUGUAUUGCCCAG